rnacentral:rRNA from 1 species
CCGUAUAGGGGAGCCGUAGAGAAAUCGAGUCUUAAUAGGGCGUUUAGUUGCUGGGUAUAGACCCGAAACCAGGCGAUCUAUCCAUGAGCAGGUUGAAGGUUGGGUAACACUAACUGGAGGACCGAACCCACUGUCGUUGAAAAGCCAGGGGAUGACUUGUGGAUAGGGGUGAAAGGCUAAUCAAGCCUGGUGAUAGCUGGUUCUCCCCGAAAGCUAUUUAGGUAGCGCCUCGGACGAAUACCAUAGGGGGUAGAGCACUGUUUCGGCUAGGGGGUCAUCCCGACUUACCAAACCGAUGCAAACUCCGAAUACCUAUGAGUACUAUCCGGGAGACAGACUGCGGGUGCUAACGUCCGUAGUCAAGAGGAAAACAAUCCAGACCGCCAGCUAAGGCCCCAAAAUCAUAGUUAAGUGGGAAACGAUGUGGGAAGGCAUAGACAGCUAGGAGGUUGGCUUAGAAGCAGCCACCCUUUAAAGAAAGCGUAAUAGCUCACUAGUCGAGUCGGCCUGCGCGGAAGAUGUAACGGGGCUAAAACUAUGUGCCGAAGCUGCGGAUGUAUACUUUGUAUACGUGGUAGGGGAGCGUUCUGUAAGCCGAUGAAGGUGUGUUGAGAAGCAUGCUGGAGGUAUCAGAAGUGCGAAUGCUGACGUGAGUAACGACAAAACGGGUGAAAAACCCGUUCGCCGAAAGACCAAGGGUUCCAGUCCAACGUUAAUCGGGGCUGGGUGAGUCGACCCCUAAGGCGAGGCCGAAAGGCGUAGUCGAUGGGAAAAUGGUUAAUAUUCCAUUACUUCUGUGUAAUGCGAUGAGAGGACGGAGAAGGCUAAAUCAGCCUGGCGUUGGUUGUCCAGGUGAAAGGAUGUAGGCAUGUAUCUUAGGCAAAUCCGGGGUACUCUAUGCUGAGAUCUGAUAGCAAGCUGUACUUGUACAGCGAAGUGGUUGAUGCCAUGCUUCCAGGAAAAGUCUCUAAGCUUCAGUUACACAGGAAUCGUACCCGAAACCGACACAGGUGGUCAGGUCGAGUAGACCAAGGCGCUUGAGAGAACUCUGCUGAAGGAACUAGGCAAAAUGGUACCGUAACUUCGGGAGAAGGUACGCUGUUGUUGGUGAUGGAACUGCUUCCUGAGCUGACGACAGCCGCAGAAACCAGGCCGCUGCAACUGUUUAUUAAAAACAUAGCACUCUGCAAACACGAAAGUGGACGUAUAGGGUGUGAUGCCUGCCCGGUGCUGGAAGGUUAAUUGAUGGGGUUAGCGUAAGCGAAGCUCUUGAUCGAAGCCCCAGUAAACGGCGGCCGUAACUAUAACGGUCCUAAGGUAGCGAAAUUCCUUGUCGGGUAAGUUCCGACCUGCACGAAUGGCAUAAUGAUGGCGGCGCUGUCUCCAGCAGAGGCUCAGUGAAAUCGAAAUCGCUGUGAAGAUGCAGUGUACCCGCGGCUAGACGGAAAGACCCCGUGAACCUUUACUGCAGCUUGACACUGAACUUUGACCUUACUUGUGUAGGAUAGGUGGGAGGCUUUGAAGCUGGAACGCUAGUUCCAGUGGAGCCGUCCUUGAAAUACCACCCUGGUAAUGUUGAGGUUCUAACUCUGUCCCGUGAUCCGGGACGAGGACCGUGUCUGGUGGGUAGUUUGACUGGGGCGGUCUCCUCCUAAAGAGUAACGGAGGAGUACGAAGGUGCGCUCAGCGUGGUCGGAAAUCACGCGUAGAGUAUAAAGGCAAAAGCGCGCUUAACUGCGAGACCCACAAGUCGAGCAGGUACGAAAGUAGGUCUUAGUGAUCCGGUGGUUCUGUAUGGAAGGGCCAUCGCUCAACGGAUAAAAGGUACUCUGGGGAUAACAGGCUGAUACCGCCCAAGAGUUCAUAUCGACGGCGGUGUUUGGCACCUCGAUGUCGGCUCAUCUCAUCCUGGGGCUGAAGCAGGUCCCAAGGGUAUGGCUGUUCGCCAUUUAAAGAGGUACGCGAGCUGGGUUUAGAACGUCGUGAGACAGUUCGGUCCCUAUCUACCGUGGGCGCUGGAAAUUUGAGAGGAUCUGCUCCUAGUACGAGAGGACCAGAGUGGACGAACCUCUGGUGUACCGGUUGUGACGCCAGUCGCAUCGCCGGGUAGCUAUGUUCGGAAGGGAUAACCGCUGAAAGCAUCUAAGCGGGAAGCCUACCUCAAGAUAAGAUUUCCCUAGGACUUUAUGUCCUCUAAAGAGCCGUUCGAGACUAGGACGUUGAUAGGUUGGAUGUGGAAGCAUAGUGAUAUGUGAAGCUGACCAAUACUAAUUGCUCGUGAGGCUUGACUAU